CGCGUAGGCGGCCGAUUAAGUCGGGGUGAAAGCCUGUGGCUCAACCACAGAAUUGCCUUCGAUACUGGUUGGCUUGAGACCGGAAGAGGACAGCGGAACUGCGAGUGUAGAGGUGAAAUUCGUAGAUAUUCGCAAGAACACCAGUGGCGAAGGCGGCUGUCUGGUCCGGUUCUGACGCUGAGGCGCGAAAGCGUGGGGAGCAAACA
rnacentral:rRNA from 1 species